AUUCCCACCUGAACCUCCAAUGCUGGUAUAGUUAAGACGGUUAUAACACUCCCCUGAUAAGGGAACAUCGGUGGUUC
rnacentral:tRNA from 1 species